ACACUUGGUGCGUUUUUCCUUCUUUUGGUUCUUUUUGCUGUCUAAGCAUGUGUAUCUUCCGGUUCUAAUCAUUUUCUCUUUGCAGUGAAAACUCAUCCAAGCUUGAAGAGCUGAUACCAGGAAUGGGUUCAAGCUACUUUGGACUUCUCCCUCAGCAUCGAGGAUUUUGAUGAACUUGUUAAUCCACGGCCUUUGUACAACCAUUUUUUAGGGCCUGAAUCUUCAGCCUAUGUUCAACGGUUGCUUCUUAAGGCAGAAAGGACCAAGACAAAUAUGCCCAGCCAAAAGGGAAAAAGAGCGAGCCUUUGUCAAAACUAUCCUUGCCUCUUUUGAAGAAGCCUAAGACUAGUGAAGUUCUAGGAUCGUCAUCUCCAGUCCCAUCUGUACUCCCCUGCAAUCCUCUCCUGCUGUCUCAAUUGAAGAGUCGUCUUCUCCUCCUUGGACACGGAAAGGAAAGGAGAAGAAAGGUGAGAGUGUUUGGACAGAUCCUGCUACAGCCCUUGGACAGGAUCACAAUGUCAUCUCUGAUGACAAGCUUAAGGCUUUAUCUUCUGUUCGAUCUCACAAGCUCGUUAGUCGUCAUAUCCACAAGCUUGUGCAAAGGAGAAGGUCGUGAUGGCUAAUUCAAGGGUUGAAGCAACUGAGGCCAAGAGUUCGAGGUUGAGGAAGGACUUGAUUAGGGUGAUGGCCUAGCAAAUGAGGUCAAAAUUAAACUGAAGGAAGUUACUUCCCUUGUCAUUCUUCCGAUUAGGGGAACAAUCCUUCUUAACGAGGUGAAGGAAGUUACUUCCCUUGUCAAGGACCUCGUCUAGGCUCUGGACGAGGUGAUGUUCCCUGUAAAGAUGAGAGAGAAAGACACCAAAGUAGCAUUAACCAAUGGUUCUUCGAUGACUAAGUCAGUAGAGUUCUCAAUAUCUCUCAGAGAAUCAAAAUGUAAUUCUUUGCCUUAGUACAGCUGUUGGGAGCCUUGUUAUGGGUGUAACUGUUGUUAGCCUCUUAAUGGCUCUUCAGGCUGUUUUGAGUAACAUAUGCUAGAGCUUAAAUGGAGGUUUAAUUGGCUCAAGAUUGGCCUUUUUGAUCAUUGGAGCUUGUCAGUUACAAAACCAUUUAUGGUUGUGUCAUUAAUGCUGUAUGGUUGUCCAUAGACAAAACCAUUUAUGGUUGUGUCAUUAAUG